rnacentral:rRNA from 1 species
UACGAAGGGGGCUAGCGUUGCUCGGAAUCACUGGGCGUAAAGCGCACGUAGGCGGACUCUUAAGUCAGGGGUGAAAUCCUGGAGCUCAACUCCAGAACUGCCUUUGAUACUGGGAGUCUUGAGUUCGGGAGAGGUGAGUGGAACUCCGAGUGUAGAGGUGAAAUUCGUAGAUAUUCGGAAGAACACCAGUGGCGAAGGCGGCUCACUGGCCCGGUACUGACGCUGAGGCACGAAAGCGUGGGGAGCAAACAGG